AUACCGCAUAAGAGUAGAUGUUGCAUGACAUUUGCUUAAAAGGUGCAAUUGCACCACUACCAGAUGGACCUGCGUUGUAUUAGCUAGUUGGUGGGGUAACGGCUCACCAAGGCGACGAUACAUAGCCGACCUGAGAGGGUGAUCGGCCACACUGGGACUGAGACACGGCCCAGACUCCUACGGGAGGCAGCAGUAGGGAAUCUUCGGCAAUGGACGGAAGUCUGACCGAGCAACGCCGCGUGAGUGAAGAAGGUUUUCGGAUCGUAAAGCUCUGUUGUAAGAGAAGAACGAGUGUGAGAGUGGAAAGUUCACACUGUGACGGUAUCUUACCAGAAAGGGACGGCUAACUACGUGCCAGCAGCCGCGGUAAUACGUAGGUCCCGAGCGUUGUCCGGAUUUAUUGGGCGUAAAGCGAGCGCAGGCGGUUAGAUAAGUCUGAAGUUAAAGGCUGUGGCUUAACCAUAGUACGCUUUGGAAACUGUUUAACUUGAGUGCAAGAGGGGAGAGUGGAAUUCCAUGUGUAGCGGUGAAAUGCGUAGAUAUAUGGAGGAACACCGGUGGCGAAAGCGGCUCUC
rnacentral:rRNA from 1 species